rnacentral:tRNA from 1 species
UAGCUCAGUUGGUUAGAGCGUCGUGCUAAUAACGCGAAGGUCGCGGGUUCGAUCCCCUC